GGAAGGAGUGGGUCCCAGGGGCACAAUCAGGGCCGGGGGUGGGCAGCACAGGCGCUGGAUAUAGGCUGGUGGGGCCCUGCCGCACCCCCUGGCUUGAAGGGUUUUCCACCCUAUCCAGGGUUUACAGUUUGGUUCAAUGGCUCUCAGCGCCCCGCCACUGUACGGAUUGUUCCAGCCCCCCUGCCUGGAACUAGGAGUCAUGGUUAAGAACUGGGAACAGCCGGCAGGGGUUGAACCUAGGGCUGGGGGAGGCAGGCUGGGAACCCAGCAUAGAAUAGAUGUUGUUAGCACAGAAAUCAGGAGCAUUCAGCAAAGUCUGGCUUGGGGGGGGGAAUCCCGAGACUGCAUCCAUCCCUGGGCUUGCCUCACUGAGUCCCAAAACAAGAGACUGAUGCACUUCCAUCCCCCCCAUCCCCAGUGACAUCCAGCUUCCCCUCCUCCGUGCUUUCUCUCCUUCCCAGGAAAACAGGCUGAAGAAUCACAUCCACAUUUCGCUCCAGAUCGUCCCGUCUUCCAGGGGACAGGGAAAACUGUGAUGGAGCCAGCUCAGGUGCCGGUGACCUUCGAGGAGGUGGCUGUGUAUUUUACCCAAGGGCAGGGG